rnacentral:rRNA from 1 species
GACGAACGCUGGCGGCGUGCCUAAUACAUGCAAGUUGAGCGCUGAAGGUUGGUACUUGUACCAACUGGAUGAGCAGCGAACGGGUGAGUAACGCGUGGGGAAUCUGCCUUUGAGCGGGGGACAACAUUUGGAAACGAAUGCUAAUACCGCAUAAAAACUUUAAACACAAGUUUUAAGUUUGAAAGAUGCAAUUGCAUCACUCAAAGAUGAUCCCGCGUUGUAUUAGCUGGUUGGUGAGGUAAAGGCUCACCAAGGCGAUGAUACAUAGCCGACCUGAGAGGGUGAUCGGCCACAUUGGGACUGAGACACGGCCCAAACUCCUACGGGAGGCAGCAGUAGGGAAUCUUCGGCAAUGGACGAAAGUCUGACCGAGCAACGCCGCGUGAGUGAAGAAGGUUUUCGGAUCGUAAAACUCUGUUGGUAGAGAAGAACGUUGGUGAGAGUGGAAAGCUCAUCAAGUGACGGUAACUACCCAGAAAGGGACGGCUAACUACGUG